UUGUGCUUCAACCUUGGAAGCAGCAGCCAGACACAGCUAUUGCUCUCAACCACACUCCCAGGACUUUAGGACCUUCAGUCUAAAGGAAUGCUCCAGGUAAUAUUCUUUGGAGGAAUUCAGUAUGUGAACAAUGGUCAGUUUUUAUCGAUGUGAUAAUUUUCUGCCAUUAUGAAGCAAUGUCUAUCGACCUUUGGGUCUCACAGAUGUGAGAUCAUGGAGCAUUCAGCACAUAGUAGGAGCCAAAUGUUUAUAUGACCGAGAUAUUCAAAUUAUGUAGAAUAAGACAAAUAAAAGAUGGACAACUGGAUCAGUACUUGCAUGUAGGAUAACUCCCAAGUUUAUGCACCUUUGUAUCUGGGUGUGAAUCUGGCGGAAGUCAGGUUUGACCAACUAUCCUUGG
rnacentral:lncRNA from 1 species